AUUUGUCUGGUUAAUUCCGAUAACGAACGAGACCUUAACCUGCUAACUAGUUCUCAAUACUCUGUAUUCUGCAACUUCUUAGAGGGACUAUGUAAAUCAAUUACAUUGAAGUUUGAGGCAAUAACAGGUCAGUGAUGCCCUUAUAUGUCCUGGGCUGCACGCGUGCUACACUGAUGCAUACAACAAGUGCCUAGCCAGACAUGGUAUGGCAAUCUCGAAUAUGCAUCGUGAUGGGGAUAGAUCUUUGCAAUUAUAGAUCUUGAACGAGGAAUUCCUAGUAAGUGCAAGUCAUCAUCUUGCAUUGAUUAUGUCCCUGCCCUUUGUACACACCGCUCGUCGCUCCUACCGAUACCGGGUGAUCCGGUGAACCUUUUGGACUCCGUACGGGGGAAGAUAAGUAAACCAUAUCACCUAGAGGAAGGAGAAGUCGUAACAAGGUUUCCGUAGGUGAACCUGCRGAAGGAUCA
rnacentral:rRNA from 1 species